UGUCCUUAGUACGAGAGGACCGGGAUGGACAUACCUCUGGUGUACCAGUUGUCGUGCCAACGGCAUAGCUGGGUAGCUAUGUGUGGACGGGAUAAGUGCUGAAAGCAUCUAAGCAUGAAGCCCCCCUCAAGAUGAGAUUUCCCAACUUCGGUUAUAAGAUCCCUCAAAGAUGAUGAGGUUAAUAGGUUCGAGGUGGAAGCAUGGUGACAUGUGGAGCUGACGAAUACUAA
rnacentral:rRNA from 1 species